ACACAGAUCAGAUGCGGGAAGGAAUCUUGAGAGUGUUGAGCCCCUGGAGGGGGCCUGGCCAACCAAGCCCCAGGCUUAGCAGCAUUCCAAGUUUCACACAAUAAAGCAGACAGCAUUAACAUGAAAUCAGAGCUGCAAUUUGUUCAAGCAUUGAUGAUGAUAACAGCUUGCCACCUCUCUGGGAUUAUAAACGGAACCCCCAAACUGCAAUCUUUGAAGUCUCACCUAUGGAGCAGACACGCUGCCUGGGACCCUUUCCUGGUUGGGACUCCAGCGCUGUUUAAGUCUGGAUGUUGGUCAAAACCCAAUUAGGGGGAUUUUCCAUCCCAGCCUGCUGGAAGGGGGAAAGAGGAUGGAAAACCAUGUUUGGAGAAUCUGAUGGACCAAGACUGGAAGAAGUGUUACAUUACUUCUUAACUCCAUUCCCUUGGUUAGAGCUCAGACGGAGGACUAACAAGAUGGCUGGGAAAGGCAAAUAAAUAUGCAUAUUUAAAAAUCAUUUUGAAGAGACAGCA